rnacentral:rRNA from 1 species
AUUGAACGCUGGCGGCAGGCCUAACACAUGCAAGUCGAGCGGAGCGGCGGACGGGUGAGUAAUGCCUAGGAAUCUGCCUGGUAGUGGGGGAUAACGUCCGGAAACGGGCGCUAAUACCGCAUACUAUCAGAAGAGCCUAGGUCGGAUUAGCUCGUUGGGGGGGUAAGGGCCUACCAAGGACACGAUCCGUACCUGGUUUGAGAGGAUGAUCAGUCACACUGCAACUGAGACACGGUCCAGACUCCUACGGUAGGCAGCAGUGGGGAAUGUUGGACAAUGGGCGAAAGCCUGAUCCAGCCAUGCCGCGUGUGUGAAGAAGGUCUUCGGAUUGUAAAGCACUUUAAGUUGGGAGGCGUUACCAACAGAAUAAGCACCGGCUAACUUCGUGCCAGCAGCCGCGGUAAUAC